AUUGAACGCUGGCGGCAUGCCUUACACAUGCAAGUCGAACGGCAGCAUGGUCUAGCUUGCUAGAUUGAUGGCGAGUGGCGAACGGGUGAGUAAUACAUCGGAACGUGCCCUGUAGUGGGGGAUAACUAGUCGAAAGAUUAGCUAAUACCGCAUACGACCUGAGGGUGAAAGUGGGGGACCGCAAGGCCUCAUGCUAUAGGAGCGGCCGAUGUCUGAUUAGCUAGUUGGUGAGGUAAAGGCUCACCAAGGCGACGAUCAGUAGCUGGUCUGAGAGGACGAUCAGCCACACUGGGACUGAGACACGGCCCAGACUCCUACGGGAGGCAGCAGUGGGGAAUUUUGGACAAUGGGCGAAAGCCUGAUCCAGCAAUGCCGCGUGUGUGAAGAAGGCCUUCGGGUUGUAAAGCACUUUUGUCCGGAAAGAAAUGGCUCUGGUUAAUACCUGGGGUCGAUGACGGUACCGGAAGAAUAAGGACCGGCUAACUACGUG
rnacentral:rRNA from 1 species